GUCUUCGUAGCUCAGUUGGUAGAGCAACAGACUCUUAAUCUGUGGGUCGAGAGUUCGAGCCUCUCCGGGGACAC
rnacentral:tRNA from 1 species